GCUUCCUGAGUCUUCACCUGCCUCCUUUCGUCCUGACUCUGUUUCACCAUCAGGGCCCAAGAUUUGCAUUGCUGGGUGUCAGAAGCACUAUCCCUGUGACAAAAUAAAAAUUCAAAUCUGAAAACAUUCCUUUAGAAAUUCUGAGAGGUUCCCAUGCAGCUGCACAGUAUCGCUUUAUGGAAAUAAAUAUUCCACAUUUCUCCAGCCCGGUUCUUAUUCCAGUGGAAAUAAGUGAAUUCCUUUUUUCGAAGUAUUCUUACAGUGAAAACUUUGAAGGGAAAACAGUUAUUCAUUUGGCUAGAAGUAACCCAUCCACUGCAGGAGGAGAAGGCUCGGGGACAUGCAGAGAGUUGGAAUUAACUUUAAUGAUACCAUCUGAAUGUGUUCAUGGUGACAGCAGAACCUUAAAUGUGAGUUUUAUGCUCUUCACAGUCAUUUUGGAAAGGAUUAUUGAAUUCCCGUUUUCAUUAUAUUUUAUAAAUAGCAAUUCAGUUAUAAUAAAUGUCUGGAAUUCUCUUUGGUUUUGCACUUACCUAAUAAUCGCUUAUGAGAAAUAUUAGUAGCCAAGGAAGUGAAGUGCUGCUAAUGUCAUUGUGUGUGUCAGUCUUGGACAGAUCACUAUUUACAGUGGAAUGUGUCAGAAUAUCCAGGGGUGAAGACUGUUCGUUUCCCAGAUGGCCAGAUUUGGAAACCAGACAUUCUUCUCUAUAACAGUGCUGAUGAGCGCUUUGACGCCACAUUCCACACUAACGUGUUGGUGAAUUCUUCCGGGCAUUGCCAGUACCUGCCUCCAGGCAUAUUCAAGAGUUCCUGCUACAUCGAUGUACGCUGGUUUCCCUUUGAUGUGCAGCAUUGCAAACUGAAGUUUGGGUCCUGGUCUUACGGAGGCUGGUCCUUGGAUCUGCAGAUGCAGGAGGCAGAUAUCAGUGGCUAUAUCCCCAAUGGAGAAUGGGACCUAGUGGGAAUCCCUGGCAAGAGGAGUGAAAAGUUCUAUGAGUGCUGCAAAGAGCCCUACCCCGAUGUCACCUUCACAGUGACCAUGCGCCGCAGGACGCUCUACUAUGGCCUCAACCUGCUGAUCCCCUGUGUGCUCAUCUCUGCCCUCGCCCUGCUGGUGUUCCUGCUUCCUGCAGAUUCCGGGGAGAAGAUUUCCCUGGGGAUAACAGUCUUACUCUCUCUCACUGUCUUCAUGCUGCUGGUAGCCGAGAUCAUGCCCGCAACAUCCGAUUCGGUACCACUGAUAGCCCAGUACUUCGCCAGCACCAUGAUCAUCGUGGGCCUCUCAGUGGUGGUGACCGUGAUCGUGCUGCAGUACCACCACCACGACCCCGAAGGGGGCAAGAUGCCCAAGUGGACCAGAGUCAUCCUUCUGAACUGGUGCGCAUGGUUCCUGCGAAUGAAGAGGCCCGGGGAGGACAAGGUGCGCCCGGCCUGCCAGCACAAGCAGCGGCGCUGCAGCCUGGCCAGCGUGGAGAUGAGCGCCAUGGCGCCGCCGCCCGCCAGCAAUGGGAACCUGCUGUACAUCGGCUUCCGCGGCCUGGAUGGCAUGCACUGCACCCCAACCCCCGACUCCGGGGUGGUAUGUGGCCGCAUGGCCUGCUCCCCCACGCAUGACGAGCACCUCCUGCACAGUGGGCAGCCCCCCGAGGGGGACCCGGACCUGGCCAAGAUCCUGGAGGAGGUCCGCUACAUCGCCAACCGCUUCCGCUGCCAGGACGAAAGCGAGGCGGUCUGCAGCGAGUGGAAGUUCGCCGCCUGCGUGGUGGACCGCCUGUGCCUCAUGGCCUUCUCGGUCUUCACCAUCAUCUGCACCAUCGGCAUCCUGAUGUCGGCUCCCAACUUCGUGGAGGCCGUGUCCAAAGACUUUGCGUAACCACGCCUGGUUCUGUACAUGUGAAAAACUCACAGAUGGGCAAGGCCUUUGGCUUGGCGAGAUUUGGGGGUGCUAAUCCAGGACAGCAUUAAACGCCACAACUCCAGUGUUCCCUUCUGGCUGUCAGUCGUGUUGCUUACGGUGUCUUUGUUACUUUAGGUAGCAGAAUCUCAGCACUUUGUUUCAUACUCUCAGAUGGGCUGAUAGAUAUCCUUGGCACAUCCGUACUGUCGGUCAGCAGGGCCACUGAGAAGUCAUUUUGCCCAUUAGCACACGGCCUGGAAAGCCCUUCGGAGAGCUCCCAGUGGCUCCUCACCGCCGGGACAGUUGGUUUUGCAUGUCUGCAUGAAGGUCUACCUGAAAAUUCAACAUUUGCUUUUUGCUUGUGUACAAACCCAGAUUGAAGCUAAAAUAAACCAGACUCACUAAAUCUAUUCCAAUAAUUGACUGGUGGAAGGAAAACAAAAAAACUAAAACUAAAAACCUGUUAGCUUUUCUGCAAUUCAACUUUUUAUUUUUAUUUUAUUUUUUCUAUCAAAGACAGUAGAGAGAAACAGCUUGUUGCUGUUUCUACAUUAAAAAAAAAAAGACAGACUGUUGGUCUUACUAAGGAUGUUUUUACCAGCCUGCCUGACUUCUGCAAACCUACCCUGUCAAGAUCAAAGGGACGCAGGUUUCUGUUUAUUCUGAACAAGGGCCAGGCCCCACGGAGUGUCUUUGGUGGAUCCCAGAUAACUCCUAGGUGCUGCUCUCAGACACUGAGGAGUUGAGCAAAUCUGUUCUAUUCUGCAGAACCCACAGGACAAAUAAGAGUUCUACUAGAAUUAACAGCCCAAAAGAAUAGCUAAAGCUAAGUGAAGCCACUUAUGCGGGCUUAAAAAAAAUAAUGUGUUAGCUGAUUCACAUGCACUGGAGUUAAUUAGUUUUAGAAAUGUGUGCACAACAUAAAGUGAACAUAUUCCUAGGCCCUUUCUGCAUGUGUCAGGGCCAAGAAGUAGGGGCUGGGAACUCUUCUGGUCCCCAGUAUGGCAGGUGCCAGGGAGGGGAUGGUGUGGCCCAUCCCUUCUCUGGAUACCUGGCCAGUGGCAGGCAGCAGGGAGGAGCUGGCCGACCCUCAGUGACUGACAAGCCAACAAUUCUGGGUUCUGGCCUUUGGGAGUCUGCCUGCUCCAAGCCCGUCCACCCCAGCUGCAGCCCCGAAAGCUGGCUCAAAGUCCUUGGGUGGAGUCACUGGAGAUGGGCAACUUAAAACAAGAGAAACUUUAAUUUUUAAACCUAAGUGAUGAUACAGCUCUUCCCCUAGAUAAUCGCCCAGGGUGGAGUGCAGUGGCAUGAUCUCGGCUCACUGCAAGCUCCACCUCCUGGGUUCAUGCCAUUCUCCUGCCUCAGCCUCCCGCCGAGUAGCUGGGACUACAGGCGCCCGCCACCAUGCCCAGCUAAUUUUUUGUAUUUUUAGUAGAGAUAGGGUUUCAUCAUGUUAGCCAGGAUGGUCUCAUUCUUAUUCUUUAAUGAGAUCAGAGGGUAAUUCACCAAGAAAGACCUCUCCUGUUCCAUUGUGUCAUCCAACAACUGCUCAGAGCUCAAAAUUGUAGAAGGCUUCUGAGCCCCUAGAGAUUUUUAAUUUGCUUCUAAUCCCUAAGAUGGGAACAUCAUGAGGGAAGAUUUGAUUUUCAGAGUUAAAUAAAUUGUAUGUGCUUUUCCAGCCAUCUGGCUCACUCAUUUCUGGGUAAUGCACAUGACUUGGUUUGCACUGGAGGAAGAUGGAAGGUUGCGUGUGUUCGGUGUGUGUGUGUGUGUAAGUGUGAGGUACCUUGUGUGUGACAAGAGAAGAAACCUCACUUAUGAGAAAGUUGGUGGAUCAGGACAUUCCAGCCUCAGGCGGCUUGGAGCAGGAUCAUUCCUCAGCAGGCAUUCCUUCCACAUGCUAUGGAUGAACCAUGCACAAGAUUUUUUUUUUUUUUUUUUUCUGUUACAGUGUCUUUAGAAACAAGUAGACGUGUUUUGAUAUAUAAAAGGAAUGCUUCAUUUCUUAUCAUUAUCCCAAAAUUGAUCCCUCCCACACUUUUGCUUUAAAAAGAAACCUUUUUGGUUUUGUAUUUUAUACAGGAACACAUAAAAUGCAAACAGAAGUUGUGCAUAUUUUGGACUCUCAAAUAACUACUCUGUCCUUUAAUAAAGUAAUAAUAAGGAACAGAUGUGCACAUAGUUAGAAAAGUAUGAGUGGUUAAAAACAACAGCCUCCCAUACUGCCUGUUUUCUCUCUCAGAGGGGACCACUAAUGAGCUUCUAAGGGCAUUUCUAGAAAGGAAGAAAAGAAGAGGCCAAAGAAGGAGGGACGGGGGUUAUGGAGAGAGACCUUCCCUUUCCAGCACUAACGCUCUGUGAAGGGCGCUGCACCUUGCAUUCUUCACAUGGUGUUUUGUCUUAGAGGUCGUCCCAUAAUAACAUAUAAAGAUCUACCUCAUUCCUCCUAGUAGCUGCUUAGCGUUCCAUUGUCUCAGCGGACUGUCAUUCAUUUGAAUAGCCUUUUAUUGGUGAACAUAUGGAUAUUUCCAGUUUUUAUUUUUAUAUACAAAUCUAUAAUUGGCAUACUUGUACAUACAUCUUGACAUAGCUUUGUGACUAAAACGGUAUAAAUUCCGACUUAGAAAUGGAAUUGCUGGGUUUAAGGUUACAUGUAUUUAAAAUUUUGAUAGCUACUGCCAGAUUAUCUUCUAGAAACUGAUGGAAGGAUGUAACUCCAUCAAGAGUACAAUAAAAGGCCCAAUUUCUCAGCUUUCUGUAAUAGCACUGGGUAUUUUCAAACUUAAUGUUUUUCCCAAUAUAAUUGAUGAAACAUGAUAUUUACGAGUAUUAUUCUGAUUUUGGUUUAUUUUGCGUAUAAAAUGGGACAUCUUUUAAAAUUUUUUUGUAAUUUUAAUUUUGAUACAUUUAUAUAUUUUACCC
rnacentral:sRNA from 1 species